rnacentral:rRNA from 1 species
AGAGUUUGAUCCUGGCUCAGGAUGAACGCUAAGGCUUAAUAUGCAAGUCGAGGGGCAGCACGAGUAGCAAUACUUGGUGGCGACCGGCGCACGGGUGCGUAACGCGUAUGCAACCUACCUUUAACAGGAGUAUAGCUCAGAGAAAUCUGAAUUAACCCCCCAUAAGACAGUAGAUAGGCAUCUAUCAGUUGAAAAUUUAUUGGUUAGAGAUGGGCAUGCGUGUCAUUAGCUAGUUGGAGAGGUAACGGCUCACCAAGGCGACGAUGACUAGGGGAUCUGAGAGGAUAAUCCCCCACACUGGUACUGCUCACCAAGGCGACGAUGACUAGGGGAUCUGAGAGGAUAAUCCCCCACACUGGUACUGCUCACCAAGGCGACGAUGACUAGGGGAUCUGAGAGGAUAAUCCCCCACACUGGUACUGAACACGGACCAGACUCCUACGGGAGGCAGCAGUAAGGAAUAUUGGGCAAUGGAGGCAACUCUGACCCAACCAUGCCGCGUGCAGGACUAAGGCCCUAUGGGUCGUAAACUGCUUUUGUACGGGAAUAAUUGUCAAUACGUGUAUUGGCUUGAAGGUACCGUAAGAAUAAGGAUCGGCUAACUCCGUGCCAGCAGCCGCGGUAAUACGGAGGAUCCAAGCGUUAUCCGGAUUCACUGGGUUUAAAGGGUGCGUAGGCGGAUUGAUAAGUCAGUGGUGAAAUCCUGCAGCUUAACUGCAGAACUGCCAUUGAUACUGUUAGUCUUGAAUUUGAUUGAAGUGGCUGGAAUGUGUCAUGUAGCGGUGAAAUGCUUAGAUAUGACACAGAACACCGACAGCGAAGGCAGGUCACUAAGUCAACAUUGACGCUGAGGCACGAAAGCGUGGGGAUCAAACAGGAUUAGAUACCCUGUAGUCCACGCCCUAAACGAUGAUUACUCGUUGUUGGCGAUAUACAGUCAGUGACUGAGCGAAAGCAUUAAGUAAUCCACCUGGGGAGUACGUUCGCAAGAAUGAAACUCAAAGGAAUUGACGGGGGCCCGCACAAGCGGAGGAGCAUGGGUUUAAUUCGAUGGUACGCGAGAA